CGGCAGCACGGGAGCUUGCUCCUGGUGGCGAGUGGCGAACGGGUGAGUAAUGUAUCGGAACGUACCCCGUCGUGGGGGAUAACUCUCCGAAAGGAGAGCUAAUACCGCAUACGACCCGAGGGUGAAAGCGGGGGACCUGGGGUAACCUGGGCCUCGCGCGAUGGGAGCGGCCGAUAUCGGAUUAGCUAGUUGGCGGGGUAAAGGCCCACCAAGGCGACGAUCCGUAGCGGGUCUGAGAGGACGACCCGCCACACUGGAACUGAGACACGGUCCAGACUCCUACGGGAGGCAGCAGUGGGGAAUUUUGGACAAUGGGGGCAACCCUGAUCCAGCCAUUCCGCGUGAGUGAAGAAGGCCUUCGGGUUGUAAAGCUCUUUCAGCAGGAGCGAAACGGUCGUUUUUAAUACAGACGGCUAAUGACGGUACCUGCAGAAGAAGCACCGGCUAACUACGUGCCAGCAGCCGCGGUAAUACGUAGGGUGCGAGCGUUAAUCGGAAUUACUGGGCGUAAAGCGUGCGCAGGCGGCGACAUAAGACAGAUGUGAAAUCCCCGGGCUCAACCUGGGAACUGCGUUUGUGACUGUGUUGCUAGAGUGUAGCAGAGGGGGGUGGAAUUCCACGUGUAGCAGUGAAAUGCGUAGAUAUGUGGAGGAACACCGAUGGCGAAGGCAGCCCCCUGGGUUAACACUGACGCUCAUGCACGAAAGCGUG
rnacentral:rRNA from 1 species